GUGCUUGCUUCCACAGUACAUAUAACUAAAAUUGGAACAAUACAGAGAAGAUUAGCAUGGCCACAAGGGUGGCUGGCAAAUUUGUGAAGCAUUCCAAAUAUUU
rnacentral:snRNA from 1 species